rnacentral:rRNA from 1 species
UAUACUGAAUAAAAUAAAAUUAUGAGAAUAAAUGUUUCAAUCAUUAAAUUUAUUAAAGAUGGCGGUUUUUCAUUCAAAUUAGGGGAACCUGUUUAUUAAAUCGAUAAUCCACGAGAAAGAACUACUUUUUUAACUUUUAUAUAUCGCCAUUUUCAGAAUAUUAAAUAAAUAAUAUUUUAUUUGGUUUAUAAUUUUAAUAUAAUUAAUUUAAAAUUAAUAAAAUGAAUUUAGGUCAACAUGUAGAGUAUUAAAGAAUUUAUGGGUUACAAUAGUGUUUAAUUAAUAAUUAAUAAUUUAAUAUAUUUUUUUUAAAUUUUAAAAUUAUUAAUUUAAGUAUUUUGAAUUUAAAAUUUUAAAGUAAAUAGGAUUUAAAAGUAAAAUUAAUAAAUUUAUUAAUUUGAAUAUUGUUCUGAAAAAUGU